UACAGAGGUCUCAAGCGUUGUUCGGAUUCAUUGGGCGUAAAGGGUGCGUAGGCGGCGCGGUAAGUCGGGUGUGAAAUCUCGGAGCUUAACUCCGAAACUGCAUUCGAUACUGCCGUGCUUGAGGACUGGAGAGGAGACUGGAAUUUACGGUGUAGCGGUGAAAUGCGUAGAUAUCGUAAGGAAGACCAGUGGCGAAGGCGGAUCUCUGGACAGUUACUGACACUGAGGCACGAAGGCCAGGGGAGCAAACGGG
rnacentral:rRNA from 1 species